AAACCAUGUUGUGAGCAUGAACUGAAGAGAUCCUUGAACCGUUCCCAAUAUUAGAAGAAUGUUUUAUCUUUCUUUUGGGCGAAGUUCAAGAUCAACUUCUUGAUGGU